AGCUCAGCUGGCUAGAGCGUACGGUUCAUACCCGUGAGGUCCAUAACCGUUCGGUCGCAGGUUCGAGUCCUGCAAGGUCCA
rnacentral:tRNA from 1 species